rnacentral:rRNA from 1 species
GGUUAAGCGACUAAGCGUACACGGUGGAUGCCCUGGCAGUCAGAGGCGAUGAAGGACGUGCUAAUCUGCGAAAAGCGCCGGCGAGGUGAUAUGAACCUUUGACCCGGCGAUGUCCGAAUGGGGAAACCCAGUGCAAUCCGUUGCACUAUCGUUAACUGAAUACAUAGGUUAACGAGGCGAACCGGGGGAACUGAAACAUCUAAGUACCCCGAGGAAAAGAAAUCAACCGAGAUUCCCCCAGUAGCGGCGAGCGAACGGGGAGCAGCCCG